GUUUCCUUCUAAGGGAAAUAAACACCAAAGGUAGGAUUCCAAGGAAAUGACUCACGGCGGCUGGCAGGGCUCUGGCGGGGCUGGCCCGGGCCCCCGCGCUCCAGCCCGCAGCAGAUGCCGGCCCGGCCCUCUCUCCCUCCCUUGCCGGCCAAACCCGCCGGAAGCCCCCGGCCGCGGGAGCGCCCUGCGCCCAUGGGACCUGGCGGCGAGGACGCCUCUUCCCUGCUUCUGCGACCGCAGCUGGGCACUCGGAAAGUUGCUAGGGCCGAAGAGGCUGGAGGGGAGGAAGGGAAGAGAGAGGCGGAGGCGUGGACCAGGCGGGCAGCAGCCUCAGCCCGCCGGGGAGCGCCGCGGCAUCCGGACCUGGGGGAACCCCUCCUACUGA
rnacentral:lncRNA from 1 species